rnacentral:rRNA from 1 species
GACAAACGCUGGCGGUAUGCCUAACACAUGCAAGUCGAACGGACAGAACAGGUAAGCUUUUCGGAGUGGAACUGGAAAGUUAGUGGCGGAUGGGUGAGUAACGCGUGGACAACCUACCUUGUAAAGGGGAAUAACCUCUAGAAAUCGAAGCUAAUACCCCAUAAUAACCUUGCUUCGCAUGAAGUAAGGAGGAAAGGCGGCCUUAGCGCUGUCGAUACAAGAUGGGUCCGCGUCUGAUUAGCUAGUUGGUGAGGUAAAGGCUCACCAAGGCGACGAUCAGUAGCCGGCCUGAGAGGGUGAACGGCCACAUUGGGACUGAGACACGGACCAAACUCCUACGGGAGGCAGCAGUGGGGAAUCUUCCGCAAUGGGCGAAAGCCUGACGGAGCAAUGCCGAGUGAGUGAAGAAGGCCUUCGGGUUGUAAAACUCUGUCCUUAUCGAAGAGAGCGUGUUGUAGUAACUGACAAUAAUAGGACGGUAGAUGAGGAGGAAGCCCCGGCUAACUAUGUG